rnacentral:lncRNA from 1 species
CUUCUGGUUUAUCUGGGACUGUCUUCUGAUUUUCUUCAUAUGCUCAAUGCUUGGCACAGCAUGUGGCAGAGAGAAGAAACUUCAGAAGUGUUUAUUGACUGAAUUUCUGUGGGUGAAGUGAGGAAGAUAGAAUUCUUCUGUGUCCUCCUCACCUAUUUACUGAGGGAGUGGCAUUGAGAAGGAGGAGUCAGUCUCUUGUGGAAUUUAGGCCAGGAUACACCAAGGAAAUCUUCUUCUAACUUUCUUUUCCUGCAGGGGAGGACACCACUGUAUAUGAGAACACUGUUCGCCUAAAAGGCUUGGCUCUGCCUGCACAGGGCCUGGACUCUUCCUCUACUUCCCCUGAAAUCUCAGCUGAGAAUCCCUAUCAGGUAUGUGCACAGGGACUGGCCAGGUUUCAAUUGGGGAUGGUAAGAGAGAGAAAAAUGCUGCUG